CCCCAGGUCAAACUGAGGUGAGAAGGGCGUUGGCACUCGCCCAUCUCCUUCCAAACCAGGGACUGUCCCAGCUCUGGGUAAGACAGGACAUCCUGACACCUUGACUUGGACUAGUACGGAGCUCUCCGAAGAACCCUUUAAUACCGACUUUUCCCGUGGAACCUGAAGUCCCCAAGAUUCUUCCAGAGUCUCCACAUACAAGGGGCUGUGAACAGUUAUGCAGGUUGGUCAUGGCGCAAGAGCAACUGGAUAAGGAGGACUUGCCAUCUGUUGAACAGGUAAAGUCCUGAAUGAGCUCUCAAGGGCCUCAAAGGAGUGUGAAGAACCCUGAGGAGCAUCUGAGGAAGCAGCCAGAAGACAAGCAGAGCAUCACUAGUAAUAGAAUGCUCCAGGUGGCUGCUUGGGGACCCUGUGUUGAGGGAGCAGAGGCUCUCCUCAGAUCAGAGAGUGGAUCCUUAUGUGUGGCACAAGGCUGGUCCUUCUGGCACGGGCCCAGGACUCCACAAUCAAAGCCUUGAAAGUGGGCCUGUAGGUUUUCGAGAAGAGGGUUUGCAUGGGUGGAGAUAUAUGUGGACAGGGAGAAACUUUAUCCAGAGAUGCACAGAGGUGGCUAUGUGUAUGUGGUGUCCCUCCAUGGGCUUUGUCUUCUCUUGUUUYUCAAGCUACAGCUCAACUGGUGCCUCAUUCAGGAAGUAUUCCUCACGCUCUGGCUGAAACAAUGACCCCUCCCCUGCUCUUGGAGAGUUUAUAGCCUGAUGAACACCUAGACCCACUGUGUUCCUGUGCCCUCUCCUCACAGGCUUUGGGCCCUGUGUCCUUGAGAUGAGACAGUACAAAGAUGUUUCAAGCAUGGGUUCCUGAGUAGAGAAGCCUUUCUGAUUGUGCCCUCCCCUUGUGGUUACACCUAUCAUUAAGAGCCUUUAAGUGCCAUACCGCUUGCAAUGCUCC